rnacentral:rRNA from 1 species
CCAAUAGCGUAUAUUAAAGUUGUUGCAGUUAAAAAGCUCGUAGUUGAAUUUCGGGGUCAGUAGGUUGGUCAUGCCACUGGUAUGUACUGGUCUCACUGAUUCCUCCUUCCUGAUGAACCGUAAUGCCAUUAAUUUGGUGUUGCGGGGAGACUGGACUGUUACUUUGAAAAAAUUAGAGUGUUUAAAGCAGGCUAACGCUUGAAUACAUUAGCAUGGAAUAAUGAAAUAGGACGUUCGAUCCUAUUUUGUUGGUUUCUAGGAUUGACGUAAUGAUUAAUAGGGAUAGUUGGGGGCAUUAGUAUUCAAUUGUCAGAGGUGAAAUUCUUGGAUUUAUUGAAGACUAACUACUGCGAAAGCAUCUGCCAAGGAUGUUUUCAUUAAUCAAGAACGAAAGUUAGGGGAUCGAAGACGAUCAGAUACCGUCGUAGUCUUAACCAUAAACUAUGCCGACUAGGGAUCGGAUGAUGUUAAUUUUAUAAUGACUCAUUCGGCGCCUUACG